rnacentral:rRNA from 1 species
AGCGAACGCUGGCGGCAGGCCUAACACAUGCAAGUCGAACGAAGUCUUCGGACUUAGUGGCGGACGGGUGAGUAACACGUGGGAACGUGCCCUUUGGUACGGAAUAACUCAGGGAAACUUGAGCUAAUACCGUAUGUGCCCUUCGGGGGAAAGAUUUAUCGCCAUUGGAGCGGCCCGCGUCUGGUUAGCUAGUUGGUGAGGUAAAGGCUCACCAAGGCGACGAUCAGUAGCUGGUCUGAGAGGAUGAUCAGCCACAUUGGGACUGAGACACGGCCCAAACUCCUACGGGAGGCAGCAGUGGGGAAUCUUGCGAAAUGGGCGAAAGCCUGACGCAGCCAUGCCGCGUGAAUGAUGAAGGUCUUAGGAUUGUAAAAUUCUUUCACCGGGGACGAUAAUGACGGUACCCGGACAAGAAGCCCCGGCUAACUUCGUGCCAGCAGCCGCCGUAAUAC